CUGAGAGAUCCCAGGCUACAAGAGGUCACAGGGCGAGGCCAGACCAGAGGAAAAUGAUCAGUGGAGGAGAUGGGGACUCAGGCUUCCAUUCACGUCAUCUGGCUCAGGAUUUGGGGACUGCAUCCUCAUGCUGAAGACCCCGCCACAGAGGGGGCCCCUGUGGGCAUGGCAGCAAGGGUGGCAGCCGUCUUUGGGAUGGCUCACAAAGCGGACAGAGGAAACAACAAAGACACAGCACGUGGCUCCUGUAAGUCAUUUUACUUUGAAUAUAUAGGAAACAAAAUCCACAAACAGGAAGCUAUGUUCUAUGGUUAUGUCUUUUAAACAAUGUUCU
rnacentral:lncRNA from 10 species